GGAUUAACUUAGUGCUAGGGCAUUGAAUAUCGAACAAUACGUCAAUUUCAAUGAUUUUGUGUUUUUUUGAGACACCCUGUAUAUGUGUAUAUAGGACUUUGGGAAUGCACAGUGCAUUGUGGAAUACUUUUUGUCAGAUAAUUCAUUGUUUAAAAUUGUGACAUAUAUACAGUACACGAGCACCACUAAAGUAUAUAUGUUCACCCUUUCACAUGCAUGUAUGUAAUAUAUUUAUUCUGCGAUAUUAGCUGUUUACAUGGGUUUUAAGAGUUCACCAAGUAAUCUCCUUGACCUUGUAGAAAUCAGGCGACAUGCAUGAAGUAGAAUUCUUGUCACUUAUAAUCAGGCUCUCAACAUGAUUUCCCCUUUUUCUUUAUUAAAUAAUAUACUUUUGGUCCGGGCGUGACAUGCGAUCAAAUUUAUUAAUUAUACUAUACCGUACAGUGCAUGCACACUGUCGAAGGAACGUUUGGGAUGGGCAACAUGAGAAUAAUUAUAGCUAGGGCAAUCGGUUAUGAUAUUACCGCGCAUUCCACAAAAUAAAUUCAAACCAUGCAUGUUAAGAUAUGUAACCAUUAUAUAACGCACAAACUUCAAUUAUAGACUAAAGAAAAUUUGUAUACUGUAGAUUAUUUAUAUUAUCAUAUAGUUCUAUACUCUAUAAUAUUAAAGCCAUGGUGAAAGGUAAUUAUUUUCAUUGGUUCUUUGUCUUGACGCUUUAAAUUUCUCCUGCAUAAGUUUAGCUAAAUAUGGAGCAAAAAUCUUUGUUUUAGAGACCUUAACUAUCUACCAUUUCCGGCACUUUUGGACUGCAGCCACAAUAUACCAUUGGUUAUGAAUAAAUUCAAGCAAACACAUAUUUAAUUAAUGUUUUGUUUAUUGCAGAAGAAAUAUGUUAAUUAUUACUAUUUAUUACAAUGAAUGUUUGUAUCAUGAAAGCUGGUAAAUCUGGAUGGAUUUAUCUUGAUUAUGCUCUGACCAAAGCAGCAUUACUAUUCUCACAUUUCUGACAGGAUGGAGCGUAUGAUUCACAUAUUAAUGGAGCGGAUCUACAUUCCGCACAGAAUAGGUAACAAUUGUUAUACUCUAUAGAAAAUAAAAAGAAAACACCACUUAGGAUAAAGCCUGGUUCACACUGGUCGUAAUUCAUCGACGAUAUAUUGUAUUCUUUUCCGACAGACAAAGCAUUUUACACUGCACCAAUGACCACAGACAAUGGAAAUCCCCAAUUCUUACGACCAGUGUGAACCAGGCAUAAGCAUUGUGAGGGCAUAAAUAAAUUGAGGGCUAAUUAGGCAUAAAUAUUGGGUAAAGAUCAGUUCAUUUAUAUUAUAGAAUCGAUUGAUUUUUAAACGUAUUUCAUGCUUUUGCAUGCAUGCAUGAGAUUAUGGGUACUAUAGAAAGUAAAGAAUUAUUUUGAAGUUGUGUGGAUUGUUAGAAAGUCUGCCGCAGUGAGAAUAAAUACUGUAUGAUGGCAUUUCUCCAAUAUUCCACUUAUGAGUCAAAACCGCACAAGAAAGGAACGAGUGCACAGUAUGCACGGAAUCGACCUAGUUCUGUCUAGAAAUAAUUCCGCGUCUAUAGCUAUAAUGCAAGUCAAAAGUGGAUGAGAGUUGGUGGUCAGAAAAGGACGUUAAUUUUCAACUAAAAAUAGGUUUGGUGAAAUCAGUGACAAAUGCAGCUGUGAUGGAAAGGGCGCCAAAUCCAGUUUCUCACAAUUUAAAGCCGUUUCCUAGUUCACGAGUAAAAGAAGCUCAAAAAAUGUAGUGCAUAGUUUAGUGCGUUUUAUAUAAUAUAUAGCAUUUGUAAAUUCUGAACGCUGAUUGGCUAAGAGCCGUGUUGAUAUAACUCAAU